rnacentral:lncRNA from 1 species
GUCGAGUGAUGAAUCUGAAAACGCAUCACACGGUAUAGCUGACUUAUAUAAAUCAUGAAACCAAAUUUCAGAAAUCCUUGUAUUGUAGUUCCUGAGAAAAAUGUGACGAAAAUUUUCAACUUGGCUAUCAUGUGUAAAAUCAUACAAGUGUUCGGUAAACAGGAAGUUGUCGAGUGAUGAAUCUGAAAACGCAUCACACGGUAUAGCUGACUUAUAUAAAUC